rnacentral:rRNA from 1 species
GGGAUCAUUACAGAGAAGCACGGCCGGGCCCGGCCACGGGCCCGACCGCGUGACCUCCAACCCUUUGUGAACACAAAAUGUUGCUUCGGGGGCGACCCUGCCGUUUCGACGGCGGGUGCCCCCGGAGGCCUGCCAACACUGCAUCUCGGCGUCGGAGUUUAAGUCAAUUAAACAAAACUUUCAACAACGGAUCUCUUGGUUCUGGCAUCGAUGAAGAACGCAGCGAAAUGCGAUAAGUAAUGUGAAUUGCAGAAUUCAGUGAAUCAUCGAAUCUUUGAACGCACAUUGCGCCCUCUGGUAUUCCGGAGGGCAUGCCUGUUCGAGCGUCAUUUCACCACUCAAGCCUGGCUUGGUAUUGGGCGCCGCGGUCUCCCGCGCGCCUCAAAGUCCCCCGGCUGAGCUGUCCGUCUCCGAGCGUUGUGAUUUCCGUAAUCGCUCCGGAGGGCGGGUGGCAGCGGCCGUUAAAUCUUGCACACGGUUGACCUCG